GCCCCAGUAGCAAAGCGGCCUACUGCUUAUGCAGGUCGAAACUGCGCCUGACUUGUAAUCAGGAGAUCGCGAGUUCAACUCUCGCCUGGGGCUCCA
rnacentral:tRNA from 1 species